GAAGGCCUUUUGGUUGUAAAGCACUUUAAGCGAGGAGGAGGCUACUCUAGUUAAUACCUAGAGAUAGUGGACGUUACUCGCAGAAUAAGCACCGGCUAACUCUGUGCCAGCAGCCGCGGUAAUACAGAGGGUGCAAGCGUUAAUCGGAUUUACUGGGCGUAAAGCGCGCGUAGGUGGCCAAUUAAGUCAAAUGUGAAAUCCCCGAGCUUAACUUGGGAAUUGCAUUCGAUACUGGUUGGCUAGAGUAUGGGAGAGGAUGGUAGAAUUCCAGGUGUAGCGGUGAAAUGCGUAGAGAUCUGGAGGAAUACCGAUGGCGAAGGCAGCCAUCUGGCCUAAUACUGACACUGAGGUGCGAAAGCAUGGGGAGCAAACAGGAUUAGAUACCCUGGUAGUCCAUGCCGUAAACGAUGUCUACUAGCCGU
rnacentral:rRNA from 1 species